CCUACGGGAGGCAGCAGUGAGGAAUAUUGGUCAAUGGACGCAAGUCUGAACCAGCCAAGUAGCGUGCAGGAUGACUGCCCUAUGGGUUGUAAACUUCUUUUAUAUGGGACUAAAGUUCAGUAUGUAUACUGUCUUGUAUGUAUCUUAUUACUAAGGAUCGGCUAACUCCGUGCCAUCAGCCGCGGUAAUACGGAUGAUCCUAGCGUUAUCCGGAUUUAUUGGGUUUAAGGGGUGCGUAGGCUGUAGCUUAAGUCAGUUGUGAAAGUUUGGGGCUCAACUGCAGAAGUGCCGUUGAUACUGGAUGACGAGAGUAUAGAAGAGGUAGGCGGAAUGCGUGGUGUAGCGGUGAAAUGCGUAGAUAUCACGAAGAACACCGAUUGCGAAGGCAGCUUACUAAACUGUAACUGACGCUGAGGCUCGAAAGUGUGGGUAGCAAACAGGAUUAGAUACCCGGGUAGUC
rnacentral:rRNA from 1 species